GGAGAUAGCUGGUUCUCUCCGAAAUAGCUUUAGGGCUAGCCUCAAGUGAUGAUUAUUGGAGGUAGAGCACUGUUUGGACGAGGGGCCCCUCUCGGGUUACCGAAUUCAGACAAACUCCGAAUGCCAAUUAAUUUAACUUGGGAGUCAGAACAUGGGUGAUAAGGUCCGUGUUCGAAAGGGAAACAGCCCAGACCACCAGCUAAGGUCCCAAAAUAUAUGUUAAGUGGAAAAGGAUGUGGCGUUGCCCAGACAACUAGGAUGUUGGCUUAGAAGCAGCCAUCAUUUAAAGAGUGCGUAAUAGCUCACUAGUCGAGUGACACUGCGCCGAAAAUGUACCGGGGCUAAACAUAUUACCGAAGCUGUGGAUUGUCCUUUGGACAAUGGUAGGAGAGCGUUCUAAGGGCGUUGAAGCAUGAUCGUAAGGACAUGUGGAGCGCUUAGAAGUGAGAAUGCCGGUGUGAGUAGCGAAAGACGGGUGAGAAUCCCGUCCACCGAUUGACUAAGGUUUCCAGAGGAAGGCUCGUCCGCUCUGGGUUAGUCGGGUCCUAAGCUGAGGCCGACAGGCGUAGGCGAUGGAUAACAGGUUGAUAUUCCUGUACCACCUAUAAUCGUUUUAAUCGAUGGGGGGACGCAGUAGGAUAGGCGA
rnacentral:rRNA from 1 species